GACGAACGCUGGCGGCGUGGAUUAGGCAUGCAAGUCGAACGGUAUCAUCCUUUCGGGGGUGAGAGAGUGGCGAACUGGUGAGUAACACGUAGGUUAUCUACCCUCAAGACGGGGACAACCCAGGGAAACUUGGGCUAAUACCGGAUGUGAGCAACUUUUAGUUGUUUGAAAGGUGGCGUAAGCUGUCGCUUGGGGAUGAGCCUGCGUCCUAUUAGUUAGUUGGUGAGGUAACGGCUCACCUAGGCAAUGAUAGGUAGGCGGCCUUAACGGGUGGUCGCCCACACUGGGAUUGAGAUACGGCCCAGACUCCUACGGGAGGCAGCAGUCGAGAAUAGUCUACAAUGGUCGGAAGACUGAUAGUGCGACGCCGCGUGAACGAUGAAUCCCUUCGGGGUGUAAAGUUCUUUUAUAUGUGAGCAGUGCUUCUUAUAUUAACAGUAUGGGGAAGAGAUAUUAGCAUAUGAAUAAGCAACGGCUAACUCCGUGCCAGCAGCCGCGGUAAU
rnacentral:rRNA from 1 species